AGGACGAACGCUGGCGGCGUGCUUAACACAUGCAAGUCGAGCGGAAAGGCCCUUCGGGGUACUCGAGCGGCGAACGGGUGAGUAACACGUGAGGAACCUGCCCUUAACUCUGGGAUAGCUUCGGGAAACCGGAAUUAAUACCGGAUACGACUUCGAUCGGCAUCGAUCGCGGUGGAAAGAUUCAUCGGUUAGGGAUGGACUCGCGGCCUAUCAGCUUGUUGGUGAGGUAACGGCUCACCAAGGCGACGACGGGUA
rnacentral:rRNA from 1 species